rnacentral:misc_RNA from 1 species
GUUAUGUUUUUAGGCAGCACAGAGGCCACUGAUCAUUCUUUUUCAUCAAGUGUUUGUGUAUUGCGACAUCAGGCGGGGCUCUCGCCACCACCCUCCGCCGUAAAGGUGCACAGGGGUUUGUGAAGGUUGAACGCGACGGGCAACCCGCUGCAAAGGACCCCCUUUUGGAGGUACCCGAGCUGGGCCAACCCGCCUCGUCAGAGAUACGUUAAUGAUCCUUCCGCAGGUUCACCUACGGAAA